ACAGACUUAUUUUCUUUCUUCUUUUAGGAUAAAUGACUUUGAAUGAGAGCACCGAGAUAAUCUUCUGCCUUUCAAAUAUCCUUCUCUGGCCAACAUUCCACCACUGAGGCACUUUCCGGUUUGUCAAGCCAAGUAUGCCUGUCAUGUUGGAACCCAGCCCUGGGACACUCACCAACUUCUCUUUGUGGUAGUAUCUCCCUUGAUUGUGUUCCCAUUCUUCCUUAUCUCCCUAAAGCCUAUCAAUCCAUUCACGUGGUCACUGACUA
rnacentral:lncRNA from 1 species